ACAACAACAUUCGGACCGUCGGUCUACCGAGCAAUAUCACCCGCUCGGUGGAAUAUAUUCCCUUUGUCGUUAAGC
rnacentral:pre_miRNA from 1 species